GGUGAGAAUCCUGCCUGAGCCGAGCGCGGGAGUGUAUCCCGGUACUCCCCACGGAUGGAGAGCCCCCGGCCCCUCUGCUCUUCAGGAUAUUCAAGGAGGAAGCCCAAAUAGCAAUCUUGGGGAAGGAAAUGAUCUAGGGGCUGAAGAAGAACGCUCCAGCAUCACCACACCACAUGUGGGGGGCUCUUGAGAACUGUCACCUGGAUCUACAGCCCACGCCUAUAACUUAUCAAGACAGAUGUCCCGACUGUCCCAUGACAAGCAAGAUGGUGCUGAGAUUAGCAAGUCGGCGGCCCCAUGAACACCGCAGGUCCACUGUGGAUGGAAAGAGUACCCACACCGCCAAGAGGAAGGGCAAGUCUAACUCCAAGGAGCCCGAGAUAAUGGAAUAUGAGGCAGAUAAUGGAAUAAGGGGCAGAGGGAAGCAGGGAAGUCACCUCACCUAAUUCCCUGUAUGUUGUGAGGACACUCUGCACAGCCUCCAGCCUCAGCUCACACAGACUCUCAGUGACACACCCGCGACUUACCUGGGCAAGCUUUUCCAGUCUAGAACUGCUUUGAUUGUUUCACAAUUCUUCCUCUCACCCCACCUUCCUGUCCCCCAUCUCUGGGGCUUGUGGGCAGAAAGAACAAGCUGGAUCCCUCCUAAAAACAGAAGCCAUUCUAGCAUCCCCAGUAACUUCUUCUCCAGGCCACAGACUUCAUACACCCUCCGUCAUGCCCUAAGACGUUUCCCGCCUCCUGGCCAUCCUAGGCCCCCUCCUUGGAAUAUGUUCUAGUUUAUCUCCUUCUGAGCACCCAGUAGAACUCAGUACUCCCAGAAUGGCAGACCAGACCAGAGUCAAACGGAACUCUCCCCUCCCUAUUCUUCUAUUAAUCUAGGCCCAGACCUUGGCACCAGCUUUGGCGGCCACAUCCUACGGUUGAUUCAUUAUGACCCCACUGACAGCUAAAAGCCUAGGUCAUUCUCAUCUGUGCUAUGAUGAUCUCUCUACCCUUCUAUUCAGCAAUGCCCUGGGGGCCCCUGUGGGGAUGCAGUUACAGGGCCCCUCAUUAUUUCUGUUCAAUUUCACCUUGCUAGGUUUGGCCCAUCACUCAAUCCCGUACAGAUCUCUUUAGAUCCUGGUUCUGUCACGAGAGGAGCUUUUCAUCCCCCCCAGCACUGUCUUCUGCCAGGUUGAUGUGCCCGCCAUAUCCUUUUAGGGGGUUAGAGGAAGGGCAUUUCCUCCCCCAUUGACCCGCUGACCACCUGUUGUACCGAUCUCAAAAAUAACCCCCAAUGAGCCCACCUCUUCAUAUCAAUGUCCUUGUAUCAUGCCCUCUCACACUGUUAGCAGGAUUGGUCUGUGUGGCCAAUAGUAUACAGCGGAAGUGGCAAUAAUUCACUUCCCAGAUUCCAGCUGGGGCUCUCUCCCUCCCUCUCUUUCUCUCUCUCUCAUCACUCUGGCGGAAGGAAGCCAUCAUGAGCAGCCCCAGGGUUUUGGCAAAAACCAAAGCCUUUUGCCAACAGUCAAGUGCAUGCGUGUGGAAGUGGAUCCUCCAGCUCAGUCAAGCCUCAGAUCAGGGCAGCCCCGGCUGACACCUCGGUUGUAGCCGCGUGAGAGAACCAGAACUGCCCAGCUAAGCCACCCCUGGAUUCCUGAGCCUCAGAAAGCGGAGAUAAUAAACAUCUGUUGUUUUAAGCCCCUGCGUCCGGGGUAAGUCGUUAGGCAGUGAUGGAGAAGUGACACCCCCUCACGUACAUCCAGGAACGAGGAGUUGACGACCAGGUUGCAGGUGCCAAGACAACAAGGGAC
ensembl:lncRNA